rnacentral:tRNA from 1 species
UCCCUGGCAGUCCAGUGGCUUAGGACUUGGCACUUUUACUGCUAUGCCUGGGUUCAAUUCCUGGUCAGGGAA